GAGACAGAGUCUCGCUUUGUUGCCCAGGCUGGAGUGCAGUGGCGUGAUCUCGGCUCACUGCAAGCUCCGCCCCCCGACGUUCAAGUGAUUCUCCUGUCUCAGCCUCCCGAGUAGCUGAGGUGGGAGGACUGCUUGAGUGCAAGCUCUGCCUCCCAGGUUCACGCCAUUCUCCUGCCUCAGCCUCCCAAGUAGCUGAGGUGGGAGGACUGCUUGAGCCUGGGAGUUCAAGACCAGCCUGGGCAACAUAGUGAGACCCCAUCUCUACAAAAAAAAUAAAAAAAUAGCUGGGUGUGGUAGCAUGUGCCUGUAGUCCCAGCUACUCAGGAGGCUGAUGUGGGAGGACAGCUUGAGCUCAGGAGGUUUAGGCUGCAGUGAGCUAAGAUAGUGCCACUGCACUCCAGCUUCAGCUACAGAGCAAGACCCUGUCUCUAAAAAUAUAAAGAAAGAAAAUUUAAAAGUAAAGAAAAAGUGGAUCAUUCGGUCCUUUAAGAUGUGGCACUGCCCAAUUAGAACUUUCCUCCAUGCAAUGCAAUUACAGUCACUGAGGCACUGGAUUUUCUAGUUUUAUUUAACUAAGACGGAGACUGAAACAGCCACACGUGGCUCCUGGCUACUGUGCUGCUGAACACAGGCCCUCACUACUCAAAAGUGUGGUCCGUGGACCAGCAGUAUUAGCAUUACCAGGGAGCUCCUUAGGAACAUAGGUCCUUGAUCAGGUGUGGUGGCUCACACCUAUAACCCCAGCACUUUGGGAGGCCAAGGCAGGAGGAUCACUUGAGCCCAGGAGUUCAAGACCAGCCUGGGCAACAUAGUGAAACCUCGUCUCUACAAAAAAAUACAUUAGCCAGCUGUGGUGGUAUGUGCCUGUAGUCCCAGGAGGCUGAGGUGGGAGGAUCGCUUGAGCCUGGGGGAGGUUGAGGCUACAUUGAGCCAUGAUCGCCUCACCUGGGUGACAAAGUGAGACUGUGUCUCAAAAAAGAAAAAGAAAAGAAAUGUAGGCCCUUAGCCUGUACCUCCCCAGCCUGUUAGGCAGAAUCUGAAUUCCACAAAAACACCCCCAAGGGAUUUAGGAGGAUGUUGAAAUCUGAGACCCUCCCAUGGUUGAGGCCACCAGUCACUUACACACAAAUGCCUUCCUCUGCAGCACCAGGAGACAGAGCCCAUCACAGAACUUCUCAGGGUGCCUCCUACACCACACUAGCUUUGUGUGUUUGUUCUUUAAUGCCUCAAGGCAUACUACUAGCCAAGGAGAGUAACUAACAGCAGCUGUUGAACACUAUGGGUCAGACUUUGACCAUCUGUUAUGGACUGAAUUGUGUCACCUACCCAUGACUAAAUUCAUAUGCUGAAGCUCUGACCUCCAACAGGGACUGUAUUUGGAGACAGGGCCUUUGGGAGGUAAUUAAGGUUAAAUAAGGUCAUAAGGGUGGGGUGAUAAGCUGACAAAAGGGAGGCUGGUUGUGGUGGCUCACGCCUGUAAUCCCAGCACUUUGGGAGGCAGAGGUGGGUGGAUCACUUGAGGUUAGCAGUUCAAAACCAACCUGGCCAACGUGGUGAAACCCCACCUCUAC
rnacentral:lncRNA from 10 species